CUCUCACUAGGACUUGGGCGUUCACCCUUCUGGCACUAACUGAGCACCUUGGCGUCGAGCUCAAUUAUUUCAUUUGAGUCGGUGGGACGCGACUCGCGGGGCAACCGACGACCGAAGAACGAAUCUGCUGCUGCUGCUCCUGCUUGAAGCAGGAUGGCGAACGCCAGCUCGUGUUUGUGGUGCCUGGUGUGGCUGGUGCUGCUGCUGUUCUUGGGCUGGCCCAUCGGCAUCACCCUGGGGGGUCUCUACGGCCUCUUCAGCCCCCUCACCACCUGCCUGGGCCUGGACCGAUUGUCCGACCUGCUGUUGGAGGGUGCCAACUUGGGCCGCACCUGCGCCCUCAACAUGAGGCACUGCAAGCCACUGUGUUAAUUUUAUUUCUUUUUUUUGGACCGUGUCCCUGAUGCUACGGCGAUGUCAAAAAAGGUUGACACGAUGGCGGGCGUGAGCAUGGAAGCGAGCAUGUGUUUGUCAUUCGGUAAGCUUGAAAGGGGCUUCAGAGUGUCGAAUUGGCGAUGACGCUGCACAGAGGAGAUAAGAAUUUAACAAUGGCGGCGCUCUGACUUGUAAAUGCAAACUUCUAAUGCGAUUAAACCUGCUUUGAACUGGU